rnacentral:rRNA from 1 species
UACGGAGGGUGCAAGCGUUAAUCGGAAUUACUGGGCGUAAAGCGUGCGUAGGUGGUUAAUUAAGUUAUCUGUGAAAUCCCUGGGCUCAACCUGGGCAGGUCAGAUAAAACUGAAUAACUCGAGUAUAGGAGAGGGUAGUGGAAUUUCCGGUGUAGCGGUGAAAUGCGUAGAGAUCGGAAGGAACACCAGUGGCGAAGGCGGCUACCUGGCCUAAUACUGACACUGAGGCACGAAAGCGUGGGGAGCAAAC